AUGUUUAAAUCAUCUACAAACUUCUCUAAAGACAGACGAGAGCUGAUGUGUUUGAUCUUCUCUCUUAAUUACAGGAAGGAUUUGAGCUCUGUGCUGUUGCAGAUGGGAAAGACAGUCUGUUGGACUGGUUGGGUAUCAGAGGUUAUGAUCUUCAUAAUGAUGUGAAACCAAAGGAAAAUCACUGAGACUGAGCCUCCCAGACCAGGCUUGUGUUUAGUUGGACCAGGUUUCCAGUUUGCUUUGGGGCUGAACUGGCAAAUGAAUCCGGCUGAUGAGUCCCAGUAAACAAUAACACAAACUGACAUUUGCCAGUGAGGAUCCUGCUGCCAAGAUUUCAGCGGCAGAAGACAAAGGUAAAUGUCACAGUAAUCAUGUUGAAGAUGCUCUAGUCCCCUCAUCAGAACAGAUGCACAACAAACAAAGUGAACUUUAAGAGCUCUCAGGAGAAACUUGUGAAUGAACACCAGCCGGCUAAUAACAUGUUAAUAACACACAACAUAAAAAUCACAAAUGAGAUCUCAGCUGAUUCUCAUCCACAACAUUUUUUUUGAAGAAAACUGUGAAAAAGACCCCAGUUUAUUUAACAAGCCACCUCUAGAGCUUCAGAAAAGAGUCACACGUUGUGUUAUUGCAGUUUUUAUUCAUAUUUCGAAUUAAUUUUUAUAUUUAUAGUUUUUUUUAGUUUUUAUUUUUGUUCAGGUUUGUUUGUUUGUUUCUAAAUGUCUAUAUAGUUAUUAUCAUCUUUUCGGUUUUUAGUUGUUUGAAAUCUGCCACAAAUAUUCUUCAUGGCCUUUUUUCCGAGGAUCCCAAACACUCGGAAUGGAGGAAAAUCCAGCAUCCAUGACUCAGGCGACUGAAAAGGAUUUCCAGCUAUUAAGGGCAGAUGUGCUGUUCUAGCAAGCGUGGGCUUUCACGGAUGCUGGGGAAAUGAAAACUGCAGAUUAAUGUUUUAAUUUUAACUUAACUGAUGGCUUCAGCCAAUCUCUGAUACAUUCAGCCAAUCUCAUGAUCUCUGGAUUCUGAUGGCUGGAGGCUGUGCUUUGUUGUUUAUGCAGAUUUUCUCCGCUCUGUCGUCUCAUUGUUGAUGGAGUCCAGGACUGAUAUUCCUCCUCAUCUCUACAUUGAAGCCAUCUAUAUCUCCAUCUACCCAAACAAUAAAAUUUAAGUACAGCGUUUGACA
ensembl:lncRNA